rnacentral:rRNA from 1 species
CCUACGGGAGGCAGCAGUGGGGAAUAUUGGGCAAUGGGCGCAAGCCUGACCCAGCAACGCCGCGUGAAGGAAGAAGGCUUUCGGGUUGUAAACUUCUUUUAUGAGGGAAGAGCAGAAGACGGUACCUCUUGAAUAAGCCACGGCUAACUACGUGCCAGCAGCCGCGGUAACACGUAGGUGGCAAGUGUUGUCCGUAUGUACUGGGUGUAAAGGGCGUGCAGCCGGGAUGACAAGUAAGAUGGGAAACGCCGCGUCUCAACCGCGGAACUGCAUUUGAAACUGUUUUUCUUGAGUACUGGAGAGGUCAUCGGAAUUCCUGGGGUAGCGGUGAAAUGCGUAGAUAUAAGGAAGAAAACCAGUGGCGAAGGCGGAUGACUGGACGGCAACUGACGGUGAGGCGCGAAAGCGUGGGGAGCAAACAGGAUUAGAUACCCGAGUAGUC